GUGCUCACUUUGGCCGCACAUAUAUUAAAAUUGAAAUGAUUCAGAGAAGAUUAUCAUGGCCCCUGCCCAAGGAUGACAUGCAAAUUCAUGAAGCAUUCCGUAUUUUU